UACGGAGGGUGCGAGCGUUGUCCGGAAUCACUGGGCGUAAAGGGCGCGUAGGCGGCGCGGAAAGUCGUCGGUGAAAGCUCGGGGCUCAACCCUGAGUCUGCCGGUGAUACUCCCGCGCUCGAGCUCACUAGAGGCAGAUGGAAUUCCGGGUGUAGCGGUGGAAUGCGUAGAGAUCCGGAAGAACACCGGUGGCGAAGGCGGUCUGCUGGGGUGAGGCUGACGCUGAUGCGCGACAGCGUGGGGAUCAAACAGG
rnacentral:rRNA from 1 species